rnacentral:rRNA from 1 species
GACGAACGCUGGCGGCGUGCCUAAUACAUGCAAGUCGAGCGGGGGGUUCUGCCUGAAGGGGCGUGAGCUUGCUCACGCGCUGGAAGGCGGGAUCCCUAGCGGCGGACGGGUGAGUAACGCGUGGGUAACCUGCCCCCAAGUCGGGGAUAACCCGGGGAAACUCGGGCUAAUACCGGAUACGCUCGCCUGCGGGCAUCUGCGGGUGAGGAAAGGCUGCGGCCGCUUGGGGAUGGGCCCGCGUCCCAUUAGCUAGUUGGUGAGGUAACGGCUCACCAAGGCGACGAUGGGUAGCCGGCCUGAGAGGGUGGACGGCCACACUGGGACUGAGACACGGCCCAGACUCCUACGGGAGGCAGCAGUAGGGAAUCUUGCGCAAUGGGCGGAAGCCUGACGCAGCGACGCCGCGUGGGGGACGAAGGCCUUCGGGUCGUAAACCCCUGUCUUGAGGGACGAUCAUGACGGUACCUCAAGAGGAAGCCCCGGCUAACUAC